rnacentral:rRNA from 1 species
GACGAACGCUGGCGGCGUGCCUAAUACAUGCAAGUCGAACGCUUCUUCCCUCCCGAGUGCUUGCAAUCAAUGGGAAAGAGGAGAGGCGGACGGGUGAGUAACACGUGUGCAACCUACCCAUCAGAGGGGGAUAACACUUGGAAACAGGUGCUAAUACCGCAUAACAGUUUAUGCCGCAUGGCAUAAGAGUGAAAGGCGCUUUCGGGGGUCGUGGCUGGUUGGACCCGCGGUGCAUUAGCUAGUUGGCGGGGUAACGGCUCACCAAGGCCACGAGGCAUAGCUGACCUGAGAGGGUGAUCGGCCACACUGGGACUGAGACACGGCCCAGACUCCUACGGGAGGCAGCAGUAGGGAAUCUUCGGCAAUGGGCGAAAGUCUGACCGAGCCACGCCGCGUGAGUGAAGAAGGUUUUCGGAUCGUAAAACUCUGUUGUUAGGGAAGAACAAGGACGUUAGUAACUGAACGUCCCCUGACGGUACCUAACCAGAAAGCCACGGCUAACUACGUG